CUCCACUCUUAAACAGGAAACACGUGACCUCCACUCUCAAACAGGAAACACGUCCCAUCCACUUGGAUUGACGAGACGAGGAUAGCGAUUAUAAUUCAGGACUAGGAUUAUCACAGAAGAUGCAGAACCCUCUACAUUUUAAAGGCCAAAUUUUACAGAGGUGCAGAUUACCAUGCCGUGCUGCGGGGCAUUACCACUGCCCCUACUGUUCACGCACUGUAACAAGACGAGUGGACAUGGAAAGGCAUUUGGUCCUGUGUUACAGUCAACUGACCUCACAGUCUACAGAGCCUGAUCUGCCUUGUGCCACCCCAUCAGCGAAGCCUGACCUGCCUUGUGCCACCCCAUCAGCGAAGCCUGACCUGCCCUGGCCACCCCAUCAGCGAAGCCUGAUCUGCCAUGUGCCACCCCAUCAGGAGAGCCAAUCCUGACUCAUGCCACUCCAUCAGCAAGGCCUGUCCUGGCUUGUGCCACUCCAUCAGAAGAGCCUGUCCUGAUUUGUGCCACUACAUCAGAAGAGCCUGUCCUGACUUGUGCCACUCCGUCAGCAUCAGAGCCUGUCCUGACUCGUGCCACUCCAUUACAAGACCACUCGUAUGCAUGACAACCGGUGCAGGGGGCAGCAGAGGUUUAUGGAAUGUCUGUCAUAUGUCCCCACUGCAAUCUUUAGUCUCCUUAAGAAGAAUUAUAACACACACCUUUUGAGGAGACAUUCAGAUUUUUCUCAUGACAUCACUCAGAACUGUCAUCUACAGAGCGUUGCUAUUGAUGAGACAAAUGGCAUAUUUGGCGUGCAAAAAACUGGACAUGGAUUUUCUGUGCCAAUUCAUGUCCAGAGAAAAACAUGGGGAAAAAUACACCAGGUUCGAUGUGAGCUAGAAGAAUGUAUGCAGUAUCAGUUGUUGGCUCAGCGGAGUGGAUUAAGCUACAGUUUGUGCUCUCACAUUCGCUCAGUCGACUACUGUCAAGAAACGGCUGCAGAGACAUUUCUGAAAGAAGACAUCCUUAGGGAUAUGAUAACAUUCAGAUUUUUUGGAGAGGCAAAGGCAGCCAUAUGUGUAAAGAGGCAAAAUGUUGCUUGUGCAGUGCAUGUUCCUCUUUGUGUGCCUGUGGACUUUGGUGGAUCUCCAUCACAAAUAUGCUUGUCAAUCCAUGAGCCUGACAUUCAUAGUUUUUGCCGACUUGGAAGAAUAAUGGUCACAUACAACACGCAAAAGAACACCUGGCAUUGUCCCUGCACCAAACCACGGACAUCUUGUCCACAUAUACACGUCUCAAAGUG